rnacentral:rRNA from 1 species
UCUCAGUUCAGAUUGCAGGCUGCAAACUCGCCUGCAUGAAGUCGGAAUUGCUAGUAAUCGCAGAUCAGCAUGCUGCGGUGAAUACGUCCCCGGGCCUUGUACACACCGCCCGUCACACCAUGGGAGUCGGUAACACCCGAAGUCGGUAGCCUAACCGUAAGGAGGGCGCCGCCGAAGGUGGGAUUGAUGACUGGGGUGAAGUCGUAACAAGGUAUC